AGAACGAACGCUGGCGGCAUGCCUAACACAUGCAAGUCGAACGAUUGCCUUCGGGUGAUAGUGGCGCACGGGUGCGUAACGCGUGGGAAUCUGCCUUUCGGUACGGAAUAACUCAUGGAAACGUGUGCUAAUACCGUAUGAUGUCGCAAGACCAAAGAUUUAUCGCCGAAAGAUGAGCCCGCGUAGGAUUAGCUAGUUGGUGGGGUAAAGGCCUACCAAGGCGACGAUCCUUAGCUGGUCUGAGAGGAUGAUCAGCCACACUGGGACUGAGACACGGCCCAGACUCCUACGGGAGGCAGCAGUGGGGAAUAUUGGACAAUGGGCGAAAGCCUGAUCCAGCAAUGCCGCGUGAGUGAUGAAGGCCUUAGGGUUGUAAAGCUCUUUUACCCGGGAAGAUAAUGACUGUACCGGGAGAAUAAGCCCCGGCUAACUCCGCGCCAGCAGCCGC
rnacentral:rRNA from 1 species